rnacentral:pre_miRNA from 1 species
AGUGAGAUUGCUGGGUCAAAUGGUGGUUCCAUUCCUAGUUUUUUGAGGAAUUACAUACUACUUUUCAGAGUGGUUGCGCCAAUUUGCAAUCCCACCAAAAAU